rnacentral:rRNA from 1 species
UACGAAGGGGGCUAGCGUUGCUCGGAAUCACUGGGCGUAAAGCGCACGUAGGCGGAUUGUUAAGUCAGGGGUGAAAUCCUGGAGCUCAACUCCAGAACUGCCUUUGAUACUGGCGAUCUCGAGUCCGGGAGAGGUGAGUGGAACUGCGAGUGUAGAGGUGAAAUUCGUAGAUAUUCGCAAGAACACCAGUGGCGAAGGCGGCUCACUGGCCCGGUACUGACGCUGAGGCACGAAAGCGUGGGGAGCAAACAGGG